rnacentral:rRNA from 1 species
UUUAUUUUAUUUUAGAAAAUUAUUAAGAAGGGAGUCAUUUUUUAGUAAUAGUUUGAAAUUGAAGAAAACUUAACUGUAAGGGUAUUUUUAAUAUAUAAAAAGGAGAAUAUCGUACCUUUUGUAUCAGGGUUUAAUAAUUAAUUAAAGGAUUUAAUUUUCCCGAAAAGUUAUGAGCUAUAAAUUAAUAUUUUUUACGUGUUAAAGUAAUUGUAAAUUGAUUUAUUGAAGUAAAAAGCUAAACGCCUAAUUUGAUAUCUGGUUCUUUAAGAUAAGCAUCAAAGAUUGGAAAAUUUUUAUCUAAUAAAGGACAAGCUUUAUUAGAUGUAAGUUUAAAAAAUAAUUAUUUGUUAUUAGAGGAAUAAGAUUGUCUUCAAUUUUAUCAUUAAGUUAUUUUUAGUUUUAUAAACUAAUAAUUAAUUAAAGUUUCCAUGGAAUAAUUUAAUGAUAGUAAUAAUGUUAAAAUAAGUAGAAAAUUAAUCUAUAAUUAAGAAAGCAAUUAAAAGUUAAGUAACUCGUCUAAAAUUUUUGGUCUGUUUACCAAAAACAUAUUUUUUUGAAAUGAUUAAAAAUGGGCCCUGCUCGAUGUAUAAAUAAAUGGCCGCGGUAUUUUGACUGUGCAAAGGUAGCAUAAUAAUUAGUCUUGUAAUUUAAGACUGGAAUGAAAGGGUAAACUAGAAAAUUUCUUUCUUAACUAUUAAUUUCAAAUUUCACCUUUUAGUAAGAAGGCUAAAAUGUCUCUUUUAGACAAGAAGACCCUAUAAAACUUUACAUAAGAAAAUUUAAUAAAUUGAGAAUAUGUUUUGCUGGGGCGGCAGAAAGAAAAACACUUUUAAAUAUUAAAAAUAAUAUUAUUUUAAUACCCAAAAAUUUUGAAAUUUAAAUAAGUUACUUUAGGGAUAACAGCGUGAUAUGUUUUGAAAGUUCAAAUUGAUAAACGUGUUUGUGACCUCGAUGUUGGAUUAAAUUCCCUGUAUUACGCAAGAGUAAUAAUAGGAAGUCUGUUCGACUUAUAAAGAUUUCCAUGAUCUGAGUUCAAACCGGUGUAAGCCAGGUUGGUUUCUAUCUAGAGAAAAUUUAAAACGAAACAGUACGAAAGGACCCUUCGUUUAGAAAAAUUCUAAUAAAGGAAAAAUUUUU